GUCAGUGUGGUGUAGUGGUUUGAGCAUUAGACUAUGUAUCUGGGGACCAAGGUUCAAACCCGGGUUCAGCCA
rnacentral:tRNA from 1 species